GCAGGCCUAAUACAUGCAAGUCGAACGGUAGAUUGCUUUCGGGUAAUUGAGAGUGGCGAACGGGUGCGUAACGCGUAUGCAACCUACCCUAUACAGGGGGAUAGCCCGGAGAAAUCUGGAUUAAUACCCCAUGGCACUGUGAAGAGGCAUUUCUUUACAGUUAAAGAUUCAUCGGUAUAGGAUGGGCAUGCGUCUGAUUAGCUAGUUGGCGGUGUAACGGACCACCAAGGCGACGAUCAGUAGGGGUUCUGAGAGGAAGGUCCCCCACACUGGCACUGAGAUACGGGCCAGACUCCUACGGGAGGCAGCAGUAGGGAAUAUUGGGCAAUGGACGAGAGUCUGACCCAGCCAUGCCGCGUGCAGGAAGACGGCGUUCUGCGUUGUAAACUGCUUUUAUCUGGGAAGAAAAGGCCCCUGCGGGGGACAUUGCCGGUACCAGAUGA
rnacentral:rRNA from 1 species